rnacentral:lncRNA from 1 species
GAGACCAUGAGAUGUCCCACAGUGUGGCUGAGACUCAAUUUGCCUGUGUGAUCUUGAAGAGUAAAUGAAUAUAAAUUUCAGAUUAAAAAAGAUGUACCUCCACCUUGCCAGCAGACUCUAUUGCCUUCCUGGCUCAUACGUUUUGAUGAAGCAAGCAGCCCUGUUGGAGAGGCCCAUGUAUCAAGAAACUGAAGGCAUCUCCAGGCAACAGCUAGCAAAGACCCAAGGCCCUCAGUCCAACAGCCCAGAGAGAAUUGAAUCCCGCCAACAACUGCUGAAGUUUGGAAGCAGAUCCUUCAUCAGUCAAACCUUCAGAUGAGACGCCAGCCCUGGCUGACACUUUGCAUGCAGCCUUAUGAAAGACUCUGAAGCAGAGGCUGAAACUAAGCUCUGCCUAGACUCCUGGUGCACAGAAUCUGUGAGAUAAUAAAUGUGUGUUGUUUUAAG